AUACAUAACGACUCUCGGCAACGGAUAUCUCGGCUCUCGCAUCGAUGAAGAACGUAGCGAAAUGCGAUACUUGGUGUGAAUUGCAGAAUCCCGCGAAUCAUCGAGUCUUUGAACGCAAGUUGCGCCCGAAGCCAUUCGGCCGAGGGCACGUCUGCCUGGGUGUCACGCAUCGUUGCCC
rnacentral:rRNA from 1 species